rnacentral:rRNA from 1 species
GAUGAACGCUGGCGGCGUGCCUAAUACAUGCAAGUCGAGCGAACAGACGAGGAGCUUGCUCCUCUGACGUUAGCGGCGGACGGGUGAGUAACACGUGGAUAACCUACCUAUAAGACUGGGAUAACUUCGGGAAACCGGAGCUAAUACCGGAUAAUAUAUUGAACCGCAUGGGUCAAUAGUGAAAGACGGUUUUGCUGUCACUUCUAGAUGGAUCCGCGGCGCAUUAGCUAGUUGGUAAGGUAACGGCUUACCAAGGCGACGAUGCGUAGCCGACCUGAGAGGGUGAUCGCCCACACUGGAACUGAGACACGGUCCAGACUCCUACGGGAGGCAGCAGUAGGGAAUCUUCCGCAAUGGGCGAAAGCCUGCCGGAGCAACGCCGCGUGAGUGAUGAAGGUCUUCGGAUCGUAAAACUCUGUUAUUAGGGAAGAACAAAUGUGUAAGUAACUAUGCACGUCUUGACGGUACCUAAUCAGAAAGCCACGGCUAACUACGUG